AGAAAUGUAGGACCAUUCUUCUAACCCUUAUGUCGGACGAUUGCACUGUUCUGUCAAACUCUUAUGAAUAGUUAAAAUACAAUGCGACGCAACUCAUAAGACGUUUACUACGAAAUUUAACAAGAAUGGAUUCAAAUACCAAAUGUUUUUAGAAAUAUUAAAAUUUUAUAAUAUUAGGACAGGAAGUAAGAAUUGACAUUAUCACUCACAAACAAGUAUUUUAAUAACAUUAAAUGGUCAAGUGUUCAAUCGAUAUUAUUCGAUAUUCACGGAAACAAUUGCAUUGCGACUAAUAGAGCACUACACCCUACACCACAGAUUGUAGAACGAGAUAGUAUAGGAUUCCUAGUGUGUGUGAAUGUGAUAAGUGUAUUAUUGUUUAGUGUGUAGUGUGUACUGUUUUGGUUAUGUUCCGCGCAGACUAAGAACUGCCGAGUUUUUUUUUUCUACCUAUGCUGAUAGUGAUAGCCUUGAGAAACUAUAUCAGCUUCUUGUGGACGUGUUGACUCACGGGGCUCAAACCAGGAGUGUUGCUAACACUAGCCCUAGCAAGAGCAGUGCUUCGCAGAAUCUACCACUGGAUCGGAAACGCGACUCACUGAGGUCCGGCGAGAAACUCAGUGGGCUGUGUCUGUGGGUUAAUUUACUCGUCGAGCCCUUCGUCGCAAGCGAAGGGUUGGCGGAGGGCGGUGACCGGUGCUUGUGGUACCUAAAAGCACCGUUAAGGGAUCGGGAGGAUCCGUAAUGACGUUUGGGGCGCUGAGAUAUGAAUACUGCCGCUGUAUCGAUUUACUUUACAUAAGAAAUGUGUACCUACCUAUUGUUCAGAGCCGAGCUUAUUGUGUUUGCACAAGUCGCACGACAACAGACCCGCAUCCACAAGUACUAUAGCCGGGCCCCGAUCAGUGAGGUGGGAGACCAGCUCCUUCAUAGAGACAGAUCGCUCGACAGCCUGUACACCCGAGUCGAGGGCGUCACGAAAACGACUGUAAACCCGUUGUGUAUCCUGGAUGACAAACGAUAACAAAUAACUGCUUCAUGUCCUAAAUUGUAUAAUUAAGAAAAUAAAUUUAAAAAAGUA